UACGUAGGGGGCAAGCGUUAUCCGGAUUUACUGGGUGUAAAGGGAGCGCAGACGGCAGUGCAAGUCUGGAGUGAAAGCCCGGGGCCCAACCCCGGGACUGCUCUGGAAACUGUACGGCUAGAGUACGGGAGGGGCAGGCGGAAUUCCUAGUGUAGCGGUGAAAUGCGUAGAUAUUAGGAGGAACACCGGCGGCGAAGGCGGCCUGCUGGACUGAAACUGACGUUGAGGCUCGAAAGCGUGGGGAGCAAACAGG
rnacentral:rRNA from 1 species